ACCCCUCCUAAUAGCUAGCCCCCCCCUCCAAAAGCAACAAACACCAUUAAUAACCCCUAAUAAACCACAAUCAACAAACAAACCAUUUUUCCCCCCUAGUAUAGGUGACAGAAAAGGACACAUGGCGCUAUAGAGAAAGUACCGCAAGGGAAAGCUGAAAGAGAAGUGAAAAACCCAGUUAAGAGACAAAAAGCAGAGACAACCCCUCGUACCUUUUGCAUCAUGACUUAGCUAGUAACCCUCAAGCAAAAUGCCUUUUAGUUUGAGCCCCCGAAACUAAGCGAGCUACUCCAAGACAGCCUAUAUUAGGGCAAACCCGUCUCUGUUGCAAAAGAGUGGGAAGAUCUUUGAGUAGAGGUGACAGACCUACCGAGCUUAGUUAUAGCUGGUUGCCUACAAAAUGAAUAGAAGUUCAGCCUUUAACCUUCUUUCCUCAAUACUGCAUACACUUUACCGAGACACAAAGAAGACUUAAGAGUUAUUCAAAGGGGGAACAGCCCCUUUGAAAAAAGAUACAACUUUAUUUAGCAGGCUAAAGAUUAAAAUAUGUCAGGCAGGUUACCUUGGUGGGCCUAAAAGCAGCCACCCAUGCAGAAAGCGUUAAAGCUCAAGUUACUAAAUCCUCCCUAAUACCAACCACCAAAUCUUAAGCCCCUAUUUAUUGAUAGUAGGCCUUUCCAUGCCCUCAUGGAAGAGAUACUGCUAAGAUGAGUAAUAAGAGGACAGCCCCUCUCCACAACACUUGUAUACCUCAGAACGAACCCCCACUGAGAAUUAACGCCCCCGACCUAAGAGGGGCCUGGGAAAGCCAAAAAUAAUCUAGAAGCCCUCCCAGCAAUUAGCGUUAACCCAACACAGGUGUGUUUAAGGAAAGACUAAAAGAAAAAGAAGGAACUCGGCAAACACUGGCCUCGCCUGUUUACCAAAAACAUCGCCUCUUGCAACAAACGUAUAAGAGGUCCCGCCUGCCCUGUGACUUACUAGUUUAACGGCCGCGGUAUUUUGACCGUGCGAAGGUAGCGUAAUCACUUGUCUUUUAAAUGAAGACCUGUAUGAAUGGCAUAACGAGGGCUAAGCUGUCUCCUUUUUCCAGUCAAUGAAAUUGAUCUUCCCGUGCAGAAGCGGGAAUACGAACAUAAGACGAGAAGACCCUAUGGAGCUUCAAACACAAGGCAGCCCAUGUAAAACACCUGGAUUAACAGAACUAACCAAGUGGCCCCUGCCCUUCUGUUUUUGGUUGGGGCGACCAUGGGGAAACAAACAUCCCCCAUGUGGAAUGGGGCCCUCCCCCCUAAAGCUAGAGCCACAGCUCUAGCCAGCAGAACAUCUGACCUUCAAGAUCCGGCAAAGCCGAUCAACGGACCGAGUUACCCUAGGGAUAACAGCGCAAUCCCCUUUUAGAGCCCAUAUCGACAAGGGGGUUUACGACCUCGAUGUUGGAUCAGGACAUCCUAAUGGUGCAGCCGCUAUUAAGGGUUC
rnacentral:rRNA from 1 species